rnacentral:rRNA from 1 species
UACGGGGGGAGCAAGCGUUGUCCGGAUUUAUUGGGCGUAAAGAGCGUGUAGGCGGUUAGGUAGGUCCGUUGUGAAAACUCGAGGCUCAACCUCGAGACGCCGAUGGAAACCAUCUAACUAGAGUCCGGAAGAGGAGAGUGGAAUUCCUGGUGUAGCGGUGAAAUGCGCAGAUAUCAGGAAGAACACCCGUGGCUAAGGCGGCUCUCUAGUACGGUACUGACGCUGAGACGCGAAAGCGUGGGGAGCGAACAGG